rnacentral:rRNA from 1 species
AUUGAACGCUGGCGGCAUGCCUAACACAUGCAAGUCGAACGAGUGGCGGACGGGUGAGUAAUGUCUGGGAAACUGCCCGAUGGAGGGGGAUAACUACUGGAAACGGUAGCUAAUACCGCAUUCUAUCGGUUGUGGCCAGAUGGGAUUAGCUGGUUGGUGGGGUAACGGCUCACCUAGGCGACGAUCCCUAGCUGGUCUGAGAGGAUGACAAGCCACACUGGAACUGAGACACGGGCCAGACUCCUACGGGAGGCAGCAGUGGGGAAUAUUGCACAAUGGGCGCAAGCCUGAUGCAGCCAUGCCGCGGGUGUGAAGAAGGGCUUCGGGUUGUAAAGUACUUUCAGCGAGGAGGCGUUACUCGCAGAAGAAGCACCGGCUAACUACGUGCCAGCAGCCGCGGUAAUUC